UGAAAUUAACAUCAUAAGGAUUGGUCGAGUUUUUGGGCCAAGAUGGGCUGCCUGUAGUUUAAGGGCAACCAUAGCUGUGUGGCGUGCUUAUCCUGUGCUACAUCAAUAUUUUCAUGCGAAUGCAAAAUACUCAGGUAUGGCUGCUCGUCUAGAAAAUAAACAUUUCUUAAAUGAUUUGGUGUUGAUGAUAGAUAUUUUGGAAUAAAUUUCACUUCUUUCAAAUAUACUGCAAGCAAACAAUAGGGACAUAAUAAAAGCUAAAAAACUGGUGAGAAGAUCAAUAAAGGCAUUUAUUGAUCAUAUGGGAAAGGGCCCAUACGAAAGAAAAGUUGAAGGACUAAUUACCUCAGAAACCUUCAGGAAUAUAAAAUUCAUAGAAAACGAUUGAUUUGUUGGUCUUCAUCGAGAAAGUCUUUUACAAAGUAUCAACAAAAAUUUGCAGAAACGACUGAUGGACUGUGAGCAUUUAAAAACUGGGAACCAACUGCAAGACACCACAAAUAGACUACAGUUUCUACAGUUUUUGGUGCCAGAGAACUGAGAUUUUGAGGAAAUAGUCAUUCCAUGGGCAGCAGCUGAAGAACAACAGUGCACAUUUAGUGACAUUUUUAACUAAAAAAUUGACAUCAACAACUAUAGAGAUUUUGUGGAGAAUGUCUUGAAAGAUUCGAAGAGGUAUGCAAUUCCUGACAGUAUCAAAAAAGCAAAAGAUAUUGUCAGAACAAUUGCAGUGAGUUCUGCAGAAGCGGAAAGGGUUUUUUUGAAAAUGAACCUGAUAUGUUCAGAAAGCAAAAGUUGCCUAGCCAUUUCCAAUCUAACCAACUUCAUGACCAUCAGCGUUACUGGACUACCUCUUUCAAAAUGGGACCCUAUUCCUGCAGUGAAAAAAUGAUUCAGAGAACACCAUCGCUCAGCCAACGACCCGUGCGUCAAGUGCAAGAAAAGUAGAAGUGAGGAGAGUGCCACUGAAAUAGCUAUGUGGAAACAUCUCAAAGCUAAAGACGACUAACAGUUUUAUGUCAUUAUUAUCAUUGGUGCAAAAAGUGUCAUUGAAGACAAAACUUUUAUUGCUCUUCUGUCAAAAAAGGGCAAAGAAGUGACGUCGACUUGGCCACGCCCACCCAGUCAUCUGACCACAAAGCCAUGCCCACCCAGUUAUCAAAUCACGUCCACCAAUUAAGCCACACUCACAGAACCGGUAGUGAAAAUGUGUCCAUUUUUUCUCCCUUAUUUCAAUGUAUCCUUUAUACAUACAAGUCUAAUAUUAAUUUAUGUACAUAUAUACAUAUAAAUAACAGCGUACCCAAUUUCAUUUUUAUAAACUACAUUUUUUCUGCUUCCUCUUAUUUGUUGUUACAUUUCUACUUCUAUAUCUUCUUUAUUUGAUCUUUCCUUGCCUCUCCUCUCUCCUCUAGCCAUUUGUACCAUUUUUCCCACACUAUAUAAUAUUCUGUUUCCUCUUUUUCUUGUAUCUCCUUUGUAAGUUUAUCCAUUUCUGCACAUUACAAGACUUUUCUAAUCAAAUUAUCUUCGGUCAUUAUGUUACUGUUUUUCCAUUUCUGUGUGUAUAUUAUUCUUGCUACUGUGAUAAUAUGGAUGAUUAAAUAUUGUAUUUUUUUUUCAUAAGACCCUGGGAGUAUUCCUAAUAAAAAUGUUUCCGGUUUUAUCUCAAUAUGUUAUUUCUUCUAAUUGUAAUUUAAUCUUACUCCAAUACUGUUUUGCUUUGGGGCAUGUCCACCACAUGUGGUAGUAUAUUCCCCUUCGUUGUUUGCAUUUCUGUGCAUUUCCAACAUGUUGAUGAGGUAUUGGGAAACAUCUUAGCCAGUCUUGCUGGUGGCAAAUGCCACCUAUAGAACAUUUUAUAUAUAUUUUCUUUAUAGGGUAUAGACAUUGUCAGUUUGUAGUGUUUAUUGCAUAUUUUCUCCCAUUUAUCUAAUUCAAUGUUAUAUCCAAAAAAAUUUGCCCAGAUUAUCAUAUUUUCUUUGACUACCUCCUCUUCUAAUUUCUAUCUUAAUAAAUAAUUAUAAUUUUUUAAAAUCAAUUUAUCUUCUGUGCCUUGAAGAAUUUUAUCUAAUUUGUGUGUUUCUCUUUGGAAUCCGUAUUGUGUUAAAUCUGUCUUAUGACUUGAUUGUAUUUGCAUGUAAGGCCACUAAUCAAUGUCUGUACCCUGUUCUUUUAAUUCUUGCUGUGAUUUCAAUUCGCCUUGACUAUUUAAUAAAUCCUUGUAUCUUUUAAUUUUGCUAAUGUCCAGAAUAUCAAAUAAAUUUGCGCCUCCAUUGUAGAUAUCCAUUCUGGGAUUUUAUCAUAAUGAUUCUUUUUUAUCCCUUGCCAUGUUUGUAGUAAUGCAUCUCUAAUUAGGUGUCUCUGAAAGCAUCUGUAUUGUCUAUUCUUUCCUUCCCACCCUCUCUGUAAAUCGUGCCCCUCUAAGGUUAGAAUUCUUUUAUUUCUUAAUUCCAUCCAGUCUUUAAUCCAAAUAAGUGCUGUAGCUUUAUAAUAAAUUUCCCAACCUGGGAGUCCAAAACCUCACUUUCCCUACUAUCUUGUAAUGAUUGUAUUUUAAUUCUUGAUUUAUUUUCCUGCCAAAUAAAGUUUGCUAUUAAUUUAUUUAGGUCUUUAAAGAAUUUCCCCCCUAGUUUUAUGGGUACUACUUGGAACAAGAAUAAUAUUCGAGGUAAUAUGUUCAUUUUAAUUGAUACUAUUUUUCCUAAGAGCGAUAAUUGUAAUUUUUUCCAAAUUUCCAAAUCCUUCUUUAUCUGUAAUAUUUAUCAUAGUUAUCUUCUUUAAUCGAUGAG